UGCUCCAGUGUUGGCACUCCUGUCUGUUUCUCCAAGCUUGGAGCGUGCCGACCAUCAUCUACUGUAAGUAAUACAUCUACUAUGGAUAAGUACCUCAUACAACCCCACUUCAAAACACCCAAAGUAUCCCUUUAAGUUAGUGGAAGACCAAAGUUUUCCCCUAUCAACCCAUUAUGUUUCAAUUUAUGGUGUAAACCCUUUGUCUUAGACAAUAUAACUGAACAUUUGAUGGUUAUAGACACUAUUACAUGAUAAAAUAUGAAAAUAUUAAACACCUUUUGAUAAAAUAUGUGAGCGUGUUUCUCCAAAAAUUUGUAGUUGCCUGAACAAAAAGUAGAGGAUAUUAAACUAAAAGACUGAGGUUAGUAAAAGUUUCCCUCAUUGAGAAAUAAUGUACCCACUGUUCGCAUUUGUGUCUUUGUGGAGCUAAAGUGCUUAACCAACCAUCUGCAAUAUUGUAUAUUCACUGAAUGGCAAUACAGCUACUCUGUUCAUCAGGAACUAGUCGUGACUGGUUGUAGGCAAAUAUUGAAUAUGGCUGAAUAUUUCGUUUUUCUUUGAACCGUUAUGGUAACUUGUGUAUGUUUUUCUAAGCAGAUGUUGUGCCUGAUUGGUGUAAACCUUAACUACAUAUGCCUGUACUUUUCCCUACUGAGAAGAUUGCACUGCUGUUAUGAUAAUCUGAGUGUUUUGACUCAUUUUUUUAUUAUUUUUGCCUCCUCCUGGCCUCUUGCUUGCGUGUACAAAUGGCUAGACCAACCAGUCUGUGUGAGUGUUGACUGGUAAACGUGCUGGCUGGGUGGAUGUUGCAUGCCCUGCGCUGAGAGCUUUAGUGGUUAAAUCAUGAUGCGUGGAAGACCUAAAACAAUCAGAGAAGAAAAGCAAUAUUUCUUGAAGCCUUUCUAGUGGCUUACAUAAGCAGCCUAUUCUCAGCAAAUCUAAUAUUAUUAUCUGUUCUUCAGGAGUUUCCAAGACUACUGACAGGGAGAAGAUGUGUGUGUGUGUAUGUGAGAGAGAGAGAGACAGAUGCCGACUGCCUGCCUGAGCACAGCUGGCCUGUCAGGUUUGGAUAAGAAUAGAUGAGUCCCAAAGGUUUUAAAGCGUUUUCAGCUCAUUCAUCAUGGCGUUACCGCAUCUCCUACCAGCCUGCAGUUAGACAUGUUAAUGCUGGAGAGCGACACGUUUGAUAAACGGAGGGGAACGUGUUACAUAAUCAGAACAUAACUUUUUAUCCUAGUAGCUUGUCAAAAAAACCUCCUUGUAAAAGACCUCCUCCUCAUUUCAACUUCACUUCAAUUGUUACUUUGAUCUGGCUCUGUUAACUGCUUGUAUUAAUAUACAAUGCAACGAGUUGUUAUAACAUGUUGACUUGGAGUCAACUAAAGCCGGUCCAUCUUCGAUCAAUCUACUUUCUGCAGGUCUCAAAGAAGUCUUUAUAGGCAGCUACAGUAAGAUGUUGAACUCAGCAUCUCUAUUUGUUUGAGCCACUGAAGUGUUCCCUCUCUCCUCCUCCGCCUCCUCCUCCUGCCUUUCUUUUCAUCCUACUUUCCACCACCACACUGGUUGGAUGGAAAUGCUCAGUCUGUGCCAACACACAAAUCAUGCACACACAAUGCCCUCUCGCUUUUGGGACAGCACCAUAAAGCCGGCACCACAGAAACAGCAACUGUAGGCUGUCCGGCCCUGGAGACAGGGAAGGAAAACUGUGCUCAAACUGGACCUUGAACUCUUGGACAAAGUUGGACAAUUUAAAAAUAUUUCUUCUUUCCCUUUAAAUCUCUUUUGAAUACAAAAAGAAAUGCAUCUGUCCAUCCCUAGAUACGUAUUUCAACCAUGAUAUAUAUCAUCCAGCCACAGACAUGAAGUCAUUUGAAACCUCCUUUCCUUUUUAACAUAUGUGCUGGCUGUGAAGCAACGUUGCAUGCCAAAGAGACUGUCUGCUCUGCUAGUUUGUGGUUUUCUUUCCAAAUUUGCCGAGCCAUAUGGGAAAAAAAACCCUACAUUUUAGUGCUGGGAACAAACCUGUAAAACACAUUACAUCAAGCUAUAUGUCAAUGAAGGUACACUGCAGCCCAAGAUGUCAUGUGUUUUCAGUGGGCACAAUCCAGUUUAAAAUUAGAAUACGUUUUAAACCGCUCGUUGGCAGAGAUUUAAUGAGUGCUGAGGUGCCAGGAGAAAUCGCUUGUGGCCUGAUUGUUUUUGAAAGAGGGAUAAUAGCUGCUGUGUGUGUGCACGGAUAAGAAUGGAAGUGUUACUAACUGGCAAGUGUGUGGAAAAUACCUUUCAUUCAAAGCUUUCCAGUGUUUUUCAGAGGGUAUGGAGGUAAACACAACCCGAUGGGCUCCUUCCGUCCGAUCCUUUUAUCAUGCCCAGGAUUUAUCAGAUGCCCAGUGCGUAGUGUGUUUGCCUUGGCUUCAGGUGCCAGGCACCCUCCAGCUAUUCUGGGCAACAAGACAAACAGCAUGAUUACAUAGACGAGUGGAUGGCCACACGGUUGCCAUGACAAUGAGAGCCAGCAGGCUUCAGCUCUAGUGGCGUCAUAAAACAAUGCUCACUGCGGCGCUAGUGGCGGUAUAGCAGUUACUGUUACUGAAAGAUGGGAGGUGAGAUGAAAGAGAAGAGACGAGACGACUGGUGAUGUCAGAAUAAUAACCAGUAGAAGGAUGUUUAACACUUUUAUAGAUGAUUUGUGAUGAAUCCUGAUCACAUUUUCAGGUACCUCUUCAUAAUAAGGCACCCUUUAUAAAAAGGGUUAUAAGUUUCAACCAAUAGUUUUAUUAAUGUCUUUUUUUUUCUAAUUUGUUAAUGUUUUAUAGAUCAAUUUUAAACCAUUAAUCAUAACAACUUGGGUUGCCAGGUAAAGAAAAAUCCCUUAUUACUAGAAAAAGGGCUGCAGACAACCUAUUAACACUUAUAUCCGAAGACUAAAUAAAAUUAUAACCUAUUAUAACGGAUCUAUAAAGCAUUAAGUGAUUUAUUAAACAUUAACAAAGCUAUUACUUAUAACUUAGAAACACUUAAUUAUUGGUGCCUUAUUAGAAAGUUGUACCCAUUUUCAUUAUAAUCUUCCAAACAUCAGCGUGAAGAUUUAAUACCCAAUGUAUUAGUUAUUAAAUAACAGUCAUACGGGCUGACUGAGGGAUUGUGAAUUAAUCUGGCUGCUACAAAAAGUUUAGGUUUCUUAUCGCCUUGGACAGCUCAGUAUGUAUUUGUGCAUAAGAAUUGCAUAAAUAAGUCUUUUCCUAAGUUUAACAAGACGUGUAAAACAAAUAUACAUCAUACCUGCACUUGCUGAGUGCAAAAAACUGUAAUUGUGAUGUCUGCAUCCCUCUCACAUCACUGUUUAUCCAACCCGAUCUCAUGUGAAGGCAUAGGUAAAUAGCAUGACAUUUUAAGGACAUUCUGCGUAUCAUUUAUACGCCACAUCGUUACCGUGAAAUGGUCGCAGUUAUGUUUAUGCAACAGAACUACGGUAACAGCCUCAGUUAUGUUUAGGCAACAAAAUCACUUAGGUUAGUUAGGUUUAGAAAAAAGGUUGGGCUCAAAAUAACUACGUAAACAGCGUAACAGAAGUAUGGAAAACACGUCACAAACGUCACUAAAAACACGUCACUAACGUAAUUUCAAAAUAUCUCAACAGCACUUUGGGACACAGACACUGGUCUCCUGAUGCAUUUGCUUUGCAGUCAAUACAGAUUACAUGGCGUACACAUGACACGCCAAAAGCAACAAUGGCGUUGUUAUUGCAUGCAGAAUGACUGACAAAGUAGAGUUUUAUUCAUACGACCGAGCUGGUUAAUCCAAAUUUUCUACUUUAUUACAUUAGGAAUAAAACUCCUGAUAGUUCUGUACCCAACAAAGAGACAAUUUGGGCCCAAAACAUACUUUUUCUAAUGUCAUAAAGAGAGUUUUUAACAGUGUUGAGAGUCCUUGAGAGGCAGACAACAAUAUGCAAAUGCAGUAAAUCACUGUACAUUAAGUGAUAUUUGCUUACUUCUUUUCAUACUCCCCACUGCUCUGUUCUUGCAUUAGCAUACAGCUCAGCCACUCUUUCUAUUAGCCACCUGAAAUGUUGUCAUGAGCGCUUUUCCUUCAAGUUUUGUGCAUUUUUGAGAAGCUAAAGACAGACUGGUUGUGUUUCCCUGGAGGCAGAAUAGAGGCAUAAACAGUGAACUGAACGGCGAUGCACACAGCAUGCAGCUAAAAGGAAGCUUCCGCUCCCGGUGUCCUGCUGUUUUCUUCCUUCCUCUUAUACAUACACAAACACACACAAGCACAAUUCAUCCCAGGACUGACGUGGGUCUCUUGAUACCUGACAGCUCCUCAAAGAGCACCAUUAAGCAUUUCCUUUCCUUGAAUCUUAUUUAUCCCUGUGUGUGUGUGUGUGUGUGUUUUAUUCACAUACCAAACUACUCAAAGAAAUGGAAGUGAAUCAAAAUAAACCCCACUGAGUGCACACUGAAUCGGGUCCAAAACUAUACUGAGGCAACACAAAGCUUAGAGGAAGGAAAUAUAAAAGCCAGAGAGAUCGACUGCAGUUCACUGGAUCAGUCCAAUCAAUAUCCUGCUUGAGUGAGUGGAACGGUUUUUAUCUCCAUGGUACGAUGCAUUUUUAUUAUUUUGUUAUGCAAUGUGUCCAGAGAAAAAGUUUAUUUUUUUCUUUGUAAAGUGGAAAUGUUCGACAAAUAACUGAUUAUGUUCAUUAAUGUGGAUAAUUAUAUUAUGCAGUAUGUAAAUUAUACAAGCUUAUCCAAUGAUUAAAGAUAUUUUAAAUGUU